rnacentral:rRNA from 1 species
CAGUCGCCGCGGGAAUACGUAGGGUGCGAGCGUUAAUCGGAAUUACUGGGCGUAAAGCGUGCGCAGGCGGUUUGUUAAGACAGAUGUGAAAUCCCCGGGCUUAACCUGGGAACUGCAUUUGUGACUGGCCGGCUAGAGUAUGGCAGAGGGAGGUGGAAUUCCACGUGUAGCAGUGAAAUGCGUAGAUAUGUGGAGGAACACCGAUGGCGAAGGCAGCCUCCUGGGCCAAUACUGACGCUCAUGCACGAAAGCGUGGGGAGCAAACAGGAUUAGAUACCCCCGUAGUCCCUGUCUCUUAUAC